UUUUAUUAUAAAUUUCUUUUAAUAUUGGAGUACUUUACUUUGUCAUUUAUUGGUUUUUAAGCUGUGCUCUAACUUGUCUAUUUAACUUUUACCACAACUUUCUGUCUUCAAUGUCUGCACCAGGGAAAGUUUCUGUAAUUUUAUGUGUUUAUAUGUAAUUUGAUGCAAGAUACACAAAUCAAUAUCCUCAUCAUACCUGGAGAAAAAACUUAAAUUUUGAAAACGUAUUUGAAAAUGUGCUUUCUUUAAAGUCUUCAAAGAUGCAGUGCUUUAAGUUAACUUUUCUAUCAUUGAAUCUCUGUUUUCAAGACGAGUCAAGACGUGUGAAGAAGAUGAAACCCACCAAGAGGACAUCUAGAGAGGAGGACCCUGAGUCUGAUACCUCAUCACAGCCAAGAAAAGAUUCAUCAAGAAAGAAGAGGAAGAUGUGGAGCAAAGCAGAAGUCCACGCUGUGGAACAAAAGCUAAUGCACAACAUUAAGACUGGCAAGGUUCCUGGGAAAGCACAGUGUCUUGAAUGUAUCCAUGCAUUCCCAGAUGCACUGAAAAGUAGGACCUGGGAUGCUGUGAAAUACUAUGUGAAAAACCGCAUAGACACCUGGAAGCGGCGGUCUACGAGGUAACUGCAAGCUCUUGUUUUGUGUUUGAAAGAGCAACUGUUAAUGCAGCUCUCACCAUUUGAUCUGUUGAUUAGCUGAACCUCAGAGGUCAGCUUUUGAAGUUCUGCUGUUAGAGAGCAGUGAUCUGCUCAGAUUGCACUUUAUUUUAUGCAAUUUAUUUCAUACAUAACAGAAAUUUUUUUGUACUGUUAUGCUUCUUCAAUUCAUGGAUUAGCAAAUGUUUUAAAAAGUUUGUUUAACCCUCACAUAUUGCUCAUAUUCUGAGUCAUAAUUACUCUACACCAGGGCUUCUCAAUUCCAGUCCUCGCACCCCCCUGCCCUGCAUGUUUUAGAUGUGUCCCUCCUUCACCACACCUGAUUUAAAUGAUCAGCUCGGCAUCAAGCUCUGCAGAGGCCUGAUAACGAGACACUCAUUUGAAUCAGGUGUGGUGGAGGAGGGACACAUCUAAAACAUGCAGGGCAGGGGGGUGUGAGGACUGGAAUUGAAUUCAUUCAAAUAUUGAAAAUAUUUUACAUUAAUGGGUUCCAAUUGUAGCAGUUACUGAUCUUUACAUUAAUUAUUAACAUUUCUGUAUAUCAGUAAUGUUGCCUGCUGUUAAAAAUAAAUGACAGACUUUUCAUUCAA